UACGAAGGGGGCUAGCGUUGCUCGGAAUCACUGGGCGUAAAGCGCACGUAGGCGGCUUUUUAAGUCAGGGGUGAAAUCCUGGAGCUCAACUCCAGAACUGCCUUUGAUACUGAGAGGCUCGAGUCCGGGAGAGGUGAGUGGAACUGCGAGUGUAGAGGUGAAAUUCGUAGAUAUUCGCAGGAACACCAGUGGCGAAGGCGGCUCACUGGCCCGGUACUGACGCUGAGGUGCGAAAGCGUGGGGAGCAAACAGG
rnacentral:rRNA from 1 species